rnacentral:rRNA from 2 species
GCACAAGCAGUGGAGCGUGUGGUUUAAUUCGAAGCAACGCGCAGAACCUUACCAGGUCUUGACAUCCCCUGACAGCCUCAGAGAUGAGGUAUUCUGGUUUCCAGACAGGGAGACAGGUGUUGCAUGGUUGUCGUCAGCUCGUGUCGUGAGAUGUUGGGUUAAGUCCCGCAACGAGCGCAACCCCCGUUCUGUGUUGCCAGCGUAAAGUCGGGCACUCACAGGAGACUGCCGGAGACAAUUCGGAGGAAGGUGGGGAUGACGUCAAAUCCUCAUGGCCCUUAUGACCUGGGCUACACACGUGCUACAAUGGUUGGUACAACGAGUUGCGAGUCGGUGACGGCGAGCUAAUCUCUUAAAGCCAAUCUCAGUUCGGAUUGUAGGCUGCAACUCGCCUACAUGAAGUCGGAAUCGCUAGUAAUCGCGGAUCAGCACGCCGCGGUGAAUACGUUCCCGGGCCUU